GCUAAGAAUAUUCCGCAAUGGACGAAAGUCUGACGGAGCGACGCCGCGUGGAUGAGGAAGGCCGAAAGGUUGUAAAGUCCUUUUGUCGAUGAAGAAUAAGUGGUGGAGGGAAUGCCAUCAUGAUGACGUUAGUCGGCGAAUAAGCCCCGGCUAAUUACGUGCCAGCAGCCGCGGUAACACGUAAGGGGCAAGCGUUGUUCGGAAUUAUUGGGCGUAAAGGGUACGUAGGCGGUUAUGUAAGCCCGGCGUGAAAUCCUGCAGCUUAACUGUAGAGCUGCGCUGGGAACUGCGUAACUUGAGUCAUGGAAGGGAAGUUAGAAUUCCAGGUGUAGGGGUGAAAUCUGUAGAUAUCUGGAAGAAUACCGGUAGCGAAGGCGAACUUCUGGCCAAUGACUGACGCUGAGGUACGAAAGUGCGGGGAGCAAACAGGAUUAGAAACCCUGGUAGUCC
rnacentral:rRNA from 1 species